rnacentral:lncRNA from 11 species
CCGCCCGGAGUCCCCACGGGGAGAUGGUGGCGGGAUAUAAAUACAGUUUAUUAUUACAGUAGAGUCUCACUUAUCCAAUACUCGCUUAUCCAACGUUCUGGAUUAUCCAACGCAUUUUUGUAGUCAAUGUUUUCAAUAUAUUGUGAUAUUUUGGUGCUAAAUUCAUAAAUACAGUAAUUACUACAUAGCAUUACUGCACAUUGAACUACUUUUUCUGCCAAAUUUGUUGUCUAACAUGAUGUUUUGGUGCUUCAUUUGUAAAAUCAUAACCUAAUUUGAUGUUUAAUAGGUUUUUCCUUAAUCCCUCCUUAUUAUCCAACAUAUUCGCUUAUCCAACAUUCUGCCGGCCUGUUUAUGUUGGAUAAGUGAGACUCUACUGUAUUAUUAUUAUUAAUAUUAUUCAAUACUGGUAGGAGGGGGCAAGCUUCCUUUCUGCUGCCCUGGAGACUAGGAUGUGGAACGAGGGCUUCAAAGGACAGGAAAGGAGAAUCCACCUGAGGAUGUGGAAGAGAGAAAGCUGUGAGAGAGAGCUGUUCAGCAGUGGAACUCUCUGCCUCUGGGAGUGUGGUGAAGACUUUGAAGCAGAGGUGGGAUGGCCGUCUGUCGGGGGUGCUUUGAAGGCGGUUCUCCUGCUUCUUGGCAGGAUGGGGAUGGGCUGGAUGGCCCACCAGGUCUCUCCCAACCCUGGGAUUCUAUAAUUCUAGGGGGCAAAGAAGGGGGCGAAUCUCUUCGAGGGCAUUUUUUGACGUCGGAAGGAGCUGUCCAGGGUCCCGAGUCUCUUUAUCUCUCUCCCUCUCUUCUGUUGACCUGGGGAGGGGCUUGGGAGCAGGGGAGGGGGCUGCAGGGGAGAGAAGGAGGUCAUUUCCCCUUCCUCUGCCCAGGCUCCGCCCCCUCCCCUCCCUCCCCUCCCCUCCCUUCUCUUCUCUUCCCUGCUGCCCCUCCCUCUUUUAGAGCCCGAGGGCGAGCCAGGCACGAGGGGACGCCCGACUCAGCGGCGGAGAAGGAGGAGAAGGAGAGGAAGAAGAGGAGGAAGAAGAGGAAGAGGAGGCGAGGGAGAAACAGCAGAAGCCCCCGCCCAGCCCAUCCCAGUCCAUCCCAGUCCAUCUCCGCCUUCACGCCUCGUUGGGAAGGAAGUGAACAUGGAAAGGACCCUCGUCUUCCUUUGGUCCCUGCUGGUCCCAGUGAUGCUGGCGGAUGUUGCCGACCAAGAAAAGGAGAAGGACCCCUUCAACUAUGGUGAGCCACACUGUCCUCCAGAGGGAAGGGUGUGGGGUGCUGGGCUUGCAGGGCUCUCUGCCACCUUCAUCCCUCACCCUUCUCUCUCUCAGACUACCAG